AGAGAGAGAGAGCACUUGUAUAUCGCUCGCGUGUUUGUUUCGGCGCGCGGAAUUCCAGAGAGUUACCCCGACGGCCGACGCGAGUGUGUAGAGAGCAGCGGGUUUUGAUUUUGUUGGAUAUAGGUUUUCGCGGAUGUGUAUAUAGACAGAUAUGCCGCGCUGCUGACAAAUAAGCUUUGAACAAGACCGCCGGCGACUUUAGAGACGAGCUGGCUAUGCGAUAAAAUGGUGUUUAUGCGCUAUGCUCGUUCGGGGAUAAAAGCUUCGAAGAGGACGGAAAGUUUUACUUACAGGAACUAAGAAGCGGCGCACUUCCGCAAGAGCGUAGGCGAUCCUAGCGUGCGCCUCUGCUGGCGUCGCGUAAGCGGAAAUUUCGACAUGCAGAUCCUCCAUCAAAUGUGAAAACUUCGGAUCUCCGCUCACCCUUAAUUCCUCUUCCUGCGGCAUAUUUAAAUCGCAUAACAAUACAUCAUGUGAAGCGCGCGAACAAAGUGCCUCUUGCACGCGAGCUUUAUCGUUUUCGAAAUUCAUCUGCGGACUACCACAUUCGGUACUUGUAUUUUGAAAUAUUACACCACAUUACAAGCUAUUUUAUAAUCUAUAUCAUUUGCAAAUUAAUCUGCCCGUUUAUUACAGAAACAUGAAUAAAAUUAAUUUAUGGACAUAAUAAAUGCUACCCAAAAUG